rnacentral:rRNA from 1 species
GACGAACGCUGGCGGCGUGCUUAACACAUGCAAGUCGAACGCUGAAGCUCAGCUUUUGUUGGGUGGAUGAGUGGCGAACGGGUGAGUAACACGUGAGUAACCUGCCUCCUUCUUUGGGAUAACGCCCGGAAACGGGUGCUAAUACUGGAUAUUCACUGGUCUUCGCAUGGGGGUGGGUGGAAAGGGUUUUUCUGGUGGGGGAUGGGCUCGCGGCCUAUCAGCUUGUUGGUGGGGUGAUGGCCUACCAAGGCUUUGACGGGUAGCCGGCCUGAGAGGGUGACCGGUAACAUUGGGACUGAGAUACGGCCCAGACUCCUACGGGAGGCAGCAGUGGGGAAUAUUGCACAAUGGGCGCAAGCCUGAUGCAGCGACGCCGCGUGAGGGAUGGAGGCCUUCGGGUUGUGAACCUCUGUCGCUCAUGGUCAAGCCGCAACAAUGGUUGUGGUGAGGGUAGUGGGUAAAGAAGCGCCGGCUAACUACGU